UAAUACGGAGGGUGCAAGCGUUGUUCGGAUUUAUUGGGCGUAAAGCGCGUGUAGGCGGUUUCUUAAGUCUGAUGUGAAAGCCCUGGGCUCAACCCAGGAAGUGCAUUGGAUACUGGGAGACUUGAAUACGGGAGAGGGUAGUGGAAUUCCUAGUGUAGGAGUGAAAUCCGUAGAUAUUAGGAGGAACACCGGUGGCGAAGGCGGCUACCUGGACCGAUAUUGACGCUGAGACGCGAAAGCGUGGGGAGCAAACAGGAUUAGAUACCCUGGUAGUCCACGCCGUAAACGAUGAGAACUAGGUGUUGCGGGUAUUGACCCCUGCAGUGCCGCAGCUAACGCAUUAAGUUCUCCGCCUGGGAAGUACGGUCGCAAGACUA
rnacentral:rRNA from 1 species